AGCUUUGUGCAGUGGCAAUAUCGUAGCCAGUGAGGUUUACCCGAGGCGCGAUUAUUGCUAAUUGAAAAAAAGAAAAAGAAAUGCAUACACUGCACACCCAGUUUGCAUGAGUCUGUGGGUGACAGUGGAAACCCAAAAUCCAUUUGCAGGG
rnacentral:snRNA from 1 species